rnacentral:lncRNA from 1 species
CUGAAGGGCUGGAGCCAGGAUCCACUCCAUCCCAGGCCUCAUUUAAGAGUUGGCAGUGGAGGUGAGAAUAUCUUGCUGGAAAUCUCUGUCUACCUGAGUCCUUCCAAGGGCUUUGAAUACCCAAUGUCUGACAACUGAUGAAACGCAUCAGGCUCAAAAAAAAGCUGGAAAGCAGUAUCAGACCUUCUGGAUACAACAUGGACUUGAAGUUGAGCCAGUUUACUUUUUCAAGUCCCAGUAUGAACUAUGUCAGAAGAUGUUGCUCUCUGCAUCGCAGGAUUCUCCAGUAAGGUCCUUCUUUGUCAUCCAACAAAUUGUCUAAAUGGACCAAGGAAGAUGACAGCUACUAACCUGUAAGGUACAUUUCUUGGUUUUAGAUAUACCCAACUGUCUGUUAGGAUACUGUCCUGAAGCUUUUGUAGCUUAACUUACCCAGUGUUAGGUCUAAUUAAUUUUUUUGAAAGUUCAAAGCAUAGACUGUGAGUUGACAGAAAGGGAUUUUCUUGCUCUCAAGUGUGAACUGUGGUUGAGUAUAGGGGAAUUUUUUUUUUUCCUUUUCCAUUUCUCUGUUCUCUUGUUGCAUUCACCGGGAACAGCAGAAUUUCAGCAUCUCCCUCUCCUCUCCUCCCAAAAAAGUCUUAAGUCACUUAAGAUGUUGCAACUCAGAUUCUUAUUGUCAGAGUUCAUUAAUUCAAAUUAGUGUAAUAAAUUGUACAUUUUGGGUUUGGCCCAAGGGAGCCUUUAAAGUCUUUGCCUAUGGAUUUCUCAGAUGCUAACUAUUACGGUAUUUCCCUAUAAAGUAGUUUAUGAAUAGAAUGUCAAUGAGGAGGGCCUGACAAGAAACAGAAGUAUGUAACACAAAACACCAAAAUACUCACAUUCCCCUUUACCUCUGCUAAUAGUUUUUUUUUCUCCUACGCCCCAGAAAGUAGAACUCUAUAACAGGCACCCGAAGCCUGUUAUGAGCCUCUCUGUAAGGGCAGCUGUUGCUUCAUUUAGUACAGAGAACAGAAAGACUUAUUUUUUUUUUUCCUCAGAUAUAGCCAUAAAUCUCAGCAUAAUGCAUCAACUCCAGCUCACUGUGCCACAAGACUGACUUUUUCAUUUUCUUGGUUUCUUUGAAGUCAUCUGAGCAGAGGAGGGAAGUGAUCUGGGACAUAGAUGUGCCCUGUGAUGGAACUCAUUCUUUUAGAGUUCUGAAAACAUCCUCAGAGUGUGCAAACCAGUCACAUCACUAUUCUGUUUACUUUAGACAGCAUUCAUUCUUUUGAAGAAGCUACUAUGUCUUGAAAGAUCAAUUCUGAACAUAUUUUAUUUUUUCUUCUAAAGAAAAAGGCGCAAGGGAUGAAAUGAUUUGUUGUCCGUACCUAUAUCAUCGUACAGUAAUGCUAUCAACUCCACUAGCAGUAUUUAUGAUUAUAAUGUUCUAUGAAAGUUAGGCAACUGUAUUUUAAGGUCUAUGUGCAGGAAAACAAGGCUUUGCUAUCCUAAAGGAGUAAUGACAUGAAAACCAACCACAAACACAUAGUUAAAGGUAAGGAACUGUAGUAGUUUUAUCUCCUGGAGAUUCAAUGGAGUGUUACAGAAAAAAACUCCCUAUAAUGUGAUCUGAGGAAUAACAGAGCAGAACAACCGAGACUAGAAGAGAUGCACAGACCCUGAACAAGUAGACGUCCAUAAAGAGGCACCCAGCUAGAUGCUUGCUGCCUUCUACUAUCCUUCAACAAGCAGCAAGAGGGCAAGGUGCAGCACAUAACUGAGGACAACCGUACUGUAUUCCCUGUCCUGGCAAUUGCACAAUUCAUUUAGCUACUAAGACAGCUUUUAGCACAUUAUCCUCAUGUAGGCACAUCCAGAUAGAAAGAUGAUAGGAAACAUUUUUUCAGUGACUCAGGUUAUCUGUAUGCUUAAUGAGGGGGAAAGCUCUGCCUUCCUUCACAUAAAUAAAUAACCACCAUGUGCCUAAAAUUCUGUCAAAAUUAUAAAUAUUUUAUAUGAAAAUGUUUCAAGGCAGGUGGUUUAUCUAAAAAUAAAAAUAAAUGAUAUUUCAUUUCAGUGAGAAGUAAAAACAUAUCUGGAGACAUUAAAAUGGAAAAGAAAAUUACUUGGGGAAGAUGCUUCAAUUAGAAUGGCAUCUAGGAGCUCAUCAGUCUAUCUCAAGUUAAGUAAGCAUGAUGUCACCCUAGCCAGAGUGGUUUUAAUUUGUUCAAAAUACUCAGUUGGAAUGAUUUAUAUCCCAAUAUUUCUGGCAAAGAUACUUAGGAGAGUUAAAUAUCUUUCCUGAAAGGCACAAGAGGCUUUUGUUGACUGAAUUGUGGUGAAGAAUAUCUAGAUGUAUAUUCAAUAAAAUAUAGUGAGCUGCUUAAAUUGGUUACUCCUAAGCUUAUCCCACCCAAAGCUGAUUCUAGCACUAUCAUUUUUUUAAAGAAGGCUUUUUAACUUCUUUUUUUUUUUUCUGACUUUGCAUGUUCCAUUUACUGUUCAGUUCUGAAAGAAAUGGAACUUACAGGAUAGACUAAGAACCUCAUCGAACCCACAGUAAUAGGUACUCUGCUGCAGUUUGCUAUCUCUUCAGACAUAGCAAUGCAACUCUUUAUCAGAAGGGCUUUUUAAAUAUUUUCUUUUUUUUUUUUUUUAACUAUUUUUAUUUUUUCAGUGAUGUAUCUUACUGAGCAGCCCCACAUGCUGUUGUUCUAGUGCACUGAGAAUGAGAUGUCUCAACAGAUUAAACCAAUCUAAA